rnacentral:rRNA from 1 species
GACGAACGCUGGCGGCGUGCUUAACACAUGCAAGUCGAACGAUGAAAGAGGAGCUUGCUCCUCUGGAUUAGUGGCGAACGGGUGAGUAACACGUGAGCAAUCUUCCCCUGACUCCGGAAUAACUACGGGAAACUGUAGCUAAUACCGGAUAUGCGCCGAACAGGCAUCUGUAUCGGUGGGAAAGAAUUUCGGUCAGGGAUGAGCUCGCGGCCUAUCAGCUUGUUGGUGAGGUAACGGCUCACCAAGGCGACGACGGGUAGCCGGCCUGAGAGGGUGACCGGCCACAUUGGGACUGAGACACGGCCAGACUCCUACGGGAGGCAGCAGUGGGGAAUAUUGCACAAUGGGCGCAAGCCUGAUGCAGCAACGCCGCGUGAGGGAUGACGGCCUUCGGGUUGUAAACCUCUUUUAGCAGGGAAGAAGCGAAAGUGACGGUACCUGCAGAAAAAGCGCCGGCUAACUACGUG